rnacentral:rRNA from 1 species
GCGAACGGGUGAGUAACGCGUAGGUAACCUGCCUUGUAGCGGGGGAUAACUAUUGGAAACGAUAGCUAAUACCGCAUAACAAUGGAUGACACAUGUCAUUUAUUUGAAAGGGGCAAUUGCUCCACUACAAGAUGGACCUGCGUUGUAUUAGCUAGUAGGUGAGGUAACGGCUCACCUAGGCGACGAUACAUAGCCGACCUGAGAGGGUGAUCGGCCACACUGGGACUGAGACACGGCCCAGACUCCUACGGGAGGCAGCAGUAGGGAAUCUUCGGCAAUGGGGGCAACCCUGACCGAGCAACGCCGCGUGAGUGAAGAAGGUUUUCGGAUCGUAAAGCUCUGUUGUAAGUCAAGAACGAGUGUGAGAGUGGAAAGUUCACACUGUGACGGUAGCUUACCAGAAAGGGACGGCUAACUACGUGCCAGCAGCCGCGGUAAUACGUAGGUCCCGAGCGUUGUCCGGAUUUAUUGGGCGUAAAGCGAGCGCAGGCGGUUUGAUAAGUCUGAAGUUAAAGGCUGUGGCUCAACCAUAGUUCGCUUUGGAAACUGUCAAACUUGAGUGCAGAAGGGGAGAGUGGAAUUCCAUGUGUAGCGGUGAAAUGCGUAGAUAUAUGGAGGAACACCGGUGGCGAAAGCGGCUCUCUGGUCUGUAACUGACGCUGAGGCUCGAAAGCGUGGGGAGCGAACAGGAUUAGAUACCCUGGUAGUCCA